AUUCCUACUGUGAUCACAGAAACUUUGAUAGUGUAAACAAAUGUUCUUCAUCCAGGAAUGAACCAACCAACCAUGAUGUUUUCCAAACACUUUCAUGAAAAAGAGUUCACCUGAAGGGGGAAAAUGCGCAAUGAAAAAAAUUAUUGGUGCUGAUGUUAUGUGUAUGACUGGUAUUUUAAAACACAAUCAAUGUAUAUUUGUAUUAUUUUAAAAUUAUAUAUAAAAUCGCAUUACUACUGUGUCAAUACUUGUAUUAAAGGUGGAUUAAAGAGCUAUAUGAAUGAAACUAUUGUUUAAACCAAGUGUUUUGUAAGUCAGAAUAUCUAUAGUCACUAGAAUAUUUUAGUUAGUUU